AAAAGUAUAGUUAAAAAUAAUAUAAGGUUGUCAAUCUUAAGUUUAGAGAGGUUCCACAAAUAGGUCCUUUAC
rnacentral:tRNA from 1 species